rnacentral:tRNA from 1 species
AAUAAAUUGCCUGAUUAAAGGAUUACUUUGAUAGAGUAAAAUAAAUAAUGAAUAAUUAUAUUUAUUA